CACGCCCACCUGGCAGUUUCGGUGAUCCACGGAUCCUGCGGCUAGGUACUGCUCAAUUGUUUUGGAGUUGAGCCUUCCUCCGCUCUCUCUCUCUCCCUCCUUGUUUUCGCCACCGAAGCAAGCUAAGUUUCCUGGCGAUUUAAGUCAGCGAAAUAUUCACGGGUGGUCUGGAGUUUGGCAUCCAAGCACGCGCGUCCUGGGGAACCGCUCUUUCUCGUUCGUUGGAUUAUUUUCUCCGAUUUUCCUGUUGCUAUUUUGGUGAUUUUAGUGGCCAGAUUGGGGGUUUUGGGUGAUGUGGUAUUUGUAGUCAAGGUUAUUGUUUGAAUCGAGCAAGAGGAAGGAGUCUCGAGCGUUUUGUGCGCCGUUUUGGUGAUGGAUGUGUAGCCUGGUUUUGGUAUUCAACUUGGCUUGGUCAGUCAGUUCGUCGCCUCAAUCAAAUCUGUACAGGAAGGAAAGAAGGAGUGAAUCGGGAGAGGAGGCCUCUACUUAACUGUAUAUAAAACAUAGAUCAAGAGUUUUCAUGUAUAAGCUGGCAGGAGAAUAGAGAGGGGAGGAUGUUACAUCAGGGGGAGGAGAAGGCUCUGAUUACAGAACGAAUGAUCAGAUGAUCAAACGAUGAGAGGAUUAAGAAAGCAAAAACUUAGUCAGGCCAAGAGUCAAUCCAGCUAAGAGCUGAGUGCUUUCCAGACUUGUUCAUACGAGCAGACCAAAGCUUCAGAGUAUCGGAAGAAAAGCGUGCUACCAACUGAACAGGGAUGUUUUUGUUAUUGAAGACUUUGCGACUUUGAGCCAGCCAGAUUUUCCAAAGCACUGCAAUCAGGACUGAAUCCCAAGCUGGUCUCGUUUCUGAAUUGGGAGACUCGUUUUGUGUGAUGUAAAAAGAUCCUCAAUCUGCCUGAUUCCAACUGUAGAAAUACCCAAAGAGUGCAGGAUAGUGACUGAAUGGGGAUAGAAAAGCACCAAAUGAUUCACCCUCUCUGCCCGUUGGACAACCAAAACGACAUCCAUCAGACUUAACAACAUUCUGUUUGAAGAGCCGAGCUCUGACUUUGAUUCUUUGUCUAACCAGCAGAGCAGCCACGCAAAUUUUUUUCUCUUGGGAGCAGAACAACUCCAAAUUGCUUCAGAAGCUUGAUCAAAGAUUCCCCGAAAAUUGGUAAGGUGAUACAGGUUUCUCACCGAGAAGUGUUGAGAGGGAUUGAACUUCCAAAACCUCUCAUCAGGGCAGUCGACCAAAGUAGGUAUAGAUGUAAGGAGGUCGAUGAGAGCAGUCCUUUCACAGUUUGCUCUUGCGGAUGUCAGGUGUUGAAAAGGGGCAACACCCAAGUGCCAGUCAUAAAACAAUCAGCGACCGAGAUAUUAGGUCGCAAAGCCUGUGGGAAUAAAGCUGGGAAGGCAGAAACAAGCAAUGUACAACUGAGCCAAUUGUCUUGGCAAAAAGACACAGCAUUACGGUUUUGCAAGCCGAACUGAAGUCACUGAUCUAUAUAGCUGAAUAUAGGAACUCAGGUGCUUCCAGACAUUCGUUCUAGUGAAUCGAGAUCCCCAACAUCCUUCCUUUGAUAGUACGAAUCCAGAUAGCCCAAGAAGAGGUUGGAUUCGUAAAAAACCGGUGGCCAAAUUUGUACAGAAGACAGAAUUUCAGGUUCUUAAUAUUAAGACCUCCUUCAUGAAAGGGUUUGCAAACCCUAUCCCAUGCCACCAAACAGUCGUUGCCAGAAGACCUAUUAGAACCUUUCCAAAGAAAAGAUCUCAGGAGAUUGUCAAUUUUGUUGACCAACCAUUUUGGUAGUCUUAAGUGACAAAAUAUGUUGGAAGGGCGGACAGAACUGAAUUUGUAAGCACCCCCCCUUGACAAAAUUUAUGGAGGAGGAGGAUAGAGGUCUGCCAACUGCCAGGAUCACCGGAAGAUAUGCCUGGUCCGGAUCACCUUUAAGAACUUUCAACGUAUCAUCAGCAUAUUCAGCACUGGGCAAGGAAAAUCUUCCAUAAGGCCUAAUUCGGUUACGCCCACCCCGGCGAGGAUCAACAGGGAAAACUAAAAUUCCAGUUCAACUUCUGUAAAAUCCCUCUCAAUCCCCACUGGUACUGUUGCAACCGAACAAGCCCUAAUGGGAUGUUGUAGUCUUUUCUCAAGAGCAAACGAUUUAACAGAUUGUUGAAGCACAUCAAUCAACAAACAAAAGAGUAAAGGGGAAAGGGGAACGUGGCACUCUGUUGAGAACAACUGCAGUCUUGGAAGAGGUAAACAACCCUUUAAUCCAACUGAUCCAUCUAUCAUCGAAAACUCUGGUAGAAAGGAUUUUGAAAAAGGCAUCCCAAGCGAUAGUGUCAAAAGCUUUACUGAAUUCUAGCUUAAGAAAAAUAGGUUUCUUCUCUCUAGUUUUGCAAGCCUGAACCAAAUCCAUAGCAUUUUUUUUUCCCGAAAAGGAGGGAAAUCUAUAGCAUAUAGAAAGUUGUCAGGUGGAAAUGCCAUUGAUCUUUGAAA